GUCCAUGCCGUAAACGUUGGGCACUAGGUGUGGGGGACAUUCCACGUUUUCCGCGCCGUAGCUAACGCAUUAAGUGCCCCGCCUGGGGAGUACGGCCGCAAGGCUAAAACUCAAAGGAAUUGACGGGGGCCCGCACAAGCGGCGGAGCAUGCGGAUUAAUUCGAUGCAACGCGAAGAACCUUACCAAGGCUUGACAUGAACCGGAAACGCCUGGAAACAGGUGCCCCACUUGUGGUCGGUUUACAGGUGGUGCAUGGUUGUCGU
rnacentral:rRNA from 1 species